CAUCAGACCUCUAAUCGGAAAAGACUACCCGCUGAGUUUAAGCAUAUCAAUAAGC
rnacentral:rRNA from 1 species